rnacentral:miRNA from 1 species
CUUAUGCAAGAUUCCCUUCUA